GGAAGGAUCAUUAAAAACUCACGGGCGUGCCCGUGUCCGGGGUGGUCACGAUUGCCCCGCAUGAACCCUUGUUUUUAUCCAGCGCAAACUUUUCGUUUCCUCGGCAGCUCUGCCUGCCAUGGGGGACCUCCUAAAACCUCUUGUAAUCUUCAGUAUAACCUUCUGAAAUAUACCAAUAUCAAAACUUUCAACAAUGGAUCUCUUGGCUCUGGCAUCGAUGAAGAACGCAGCGAAAUGCGAUAAGUAGUGUGAAUUGCAGAAUUCAGUGAAUCAUCGAAUCUUUGAACGCACAUUGCGCCCUUUGGUAUUCCUUAGGGCAUGCCUGUUCGAGCGUCAUCUAAAACUUCAAGCUCAGCUUGGUGAUGGGUGUCUGUCCCGCCUCAGGAUGCGGACUCGCCUCAAAUGCAGUUGGCAGCUUAUUCUUUGGCUCUAAACGCAGCAGAAUUGCGUCGAGCGCCUUGCGAUUAGGCUUCCCAGUAAGCAAAUCUUUCCAGAUUGACCUCGGAUCAGGUAGGAAUACCCGCUGAACUUAAGCAUAUCAAUAAGCGGAGGAAAAGAAACCAACAGGGAUUGCCCUAGUAACGGCGAGUGAAGCGGCAACAGCUCAAAUUUGAAAUCUGGCUCCUUUGGGGUCCGAGUUGUAAUUUGCAGAGGGUGCUUUGGCGUUGGCUGUGGUCUAAGUUCCUUGGAACAGGACGUCGCAGAGGGUGAGAAUCCCGUAUGUGGCCGCCAGCCUUCGCCGUGUAAAGCCCCUUCGACGAGUCGAGUUGUUUGGGAAUGCAGCUCUAAAUGGGAGGUAAAUUUCUUCUAAAGCUAAAUAUCUGCCAGAGACCGAUAGCGCACAAGUAGAGUGAUCGAAAGAUGAAAAGCACUUUGGAAAGAGAGUCAAAAAGCACGUGAAAUUGUUGAAAGGGAAGCGCUUGCAGCUAGACGUGCCGGUAGUUGCUCAGCCGGGCUUUUGCCCGGUGCACUCUUCUAUCGGCAGGCCAGCAUCAGUUUGGGCGGUUGGAUAAAGGCCUAUUAAACGUGACUCCCUUCGGGGAGAGCUUAUAGGGUAGGCGUCAUGCAACCAGCCUGGACUGAGGUCCGCGCAUCUGCUAGGAUGCUGGCGUAAUAGCUGUAAGCGGCCCGUCUUGAAACACGGACCAAGGAGUCUAACAUCUAUGCGAGUGUUUGGGUGUCAAGCCCGGGCGCGUAAUGAAAGUAAACGGAGGUGGGAACCCUCGGGUGCACCAUCGACCGAUCCUGAUGUCUUCGGAUGGAUUUGAGUAAGAGCAUAGCUGUUGGGACCCGAAAGAUGGUGAACUAUGCCUGAAUAGGGUGAAGCCAGAGGAAACUCUGGUGGAGGCUCGCAGCGGUUCUGACGUGCAAAUCGAUCGUCAAAUUUGGGCAUAGGGGCGAAAGACUAAUCGAACUAUCUAGUAGCUGGUUCCUGC
rnacentral:misc_RNA from 1 species